UAAUAAUAAUAAUAAUAAUAAUAAUAAUAACUUUCAUUUAUAUAGCACCUUUAAAAAAUUAGUUUACAAAGUGUUUUGACAAACAAAGCAGAAGGGCACAACAGCACACUAAAACAUAGAAAACGACACAACACAAUAAAA